GUAAGUAUAGUUUAACCAAAAUAUUAGAUUGUGAUUCUAAAGACAGGGGUUUAAACCCCCUUACUCACC
rnacentral:tRNA from 1 species